ACCUCCGUAGCUGAGUGGUCAGAGCACUGGUCUUGUAGAUCAGGGAUCAGGAGUUCCAUCCUCCUUGAGGCA
rnacentral:tRNA from 1 species